AGUGAACGCUGGCGGUAGGCCUAACACAUGCAAGUCGAACGGCCGCACAGUAAGCUCUUUCUCUUACUGUUGGCGACUGGCGGACGGGUGAGGCAUACAUCGGAAUCUUCUUUUUCGUGGGGGAUAACGUAGGGCCACUUCCGCUAAUACCUCAUACGACCUACGGCUUAAAUCAGGGGAUCUUCGGACCUUUCGCGAUUCAAUUAGCCGAUGUCGGAUUAGCUAGUUGGCGGGGUAAAGGCCCACCAAGGCGACGAUCCGUAGCUGGUCUGAGAGGAUGAUCAGCCACAAUGGAACUGAGACACGGUCCAGACUCCUACGGGAGGCAGCAGUGGGGAAUAUUGGGCAAUGGGCGAAAGCCUGAUCCAGCAAUACCGCGUGGGUGAAGAAGGCCUUCGGGUUGUAAAGCCCUUUUGUUGGGAAAGAAAAGAAGCAGGUGAAUACCCCGCUGUUCUGACGGUACCCAAAGAAUAAGCACCGGCUAACUUCGUG
rnacentral:rRNA from 1 species